rnacentral:rRNA from 1 species
UACGUAGGGUGCAAGCGUUGUCCGGAAUUACUGGGCGUAAAGGGCGCGUAGGCGGCCUGCUAAGUCGAACGUGAAAUCCCCGGGCUCAACCCGGGAACUGCGUCCGAUACUGGUUGGCUUGAAUCCGGGAGAGGGAUGCGGAAUUCCAGGUGUAGCGGUGAAAUGCGUAGAUAUCUGGAGGAACACCGGUGGCGAAGGCGGCAUCCUGGACCGGCAUUGACGCUGAGGCGCGAAAGCGUGGGGAGCAAACAGG